GCUACACCCGGGAUUCGAAGC
rnacentral:miRNA from 1 species